AUUUACUUUUAUUAUGUUGGUGUAUAUCUGGUUUAAUAUUAUUGUUUAAUAAUAUAAUUUGUGAAGGUGAUUAGUUAAGCCAAGUCUAUGUGCUGCUUAUAAAAGUAAUCAUGCGUUACAUUUAUAAAUAUAUAAUUGUAAGAUUAUGUAAUUUAGGACUUAAUAGUAAUGUUUAAUAAAUUUGUAGAUGUGAAAAAAGUUUAGCUCAUGUACACACCGC
rnacentral:rRNA from 1 species